UAUCUCAUGUAACCGGUAAUUAGCAUGCCACUUUGUGGAGCACAAAUCCCGGUCCAGUAAUGCCCGUGGACUUGGUUGCUGAGUCGUGCAUGGUCCUCUCUUUAGUUGUCAAGCUACUGACUGUCCUCUAGGUCAAAAAUCUUCCCCCCGCCCCCCUGUCCCGCCCCACUUGCCCCUUCGCUCAGCAAGGAGUGCAGCUCACAUUAAAGGUUUUGUAAGUGUUUCUUAUGUGAAUAGAUGAAUGAAUGAAUGGUAGCUGGAUGAUUUGGAAACCAUUUGGCCUACAGAGCCUAUUUCAGCCACAGUGCUGUGGAAAUAAUGACACCCAAAUGAGAAAAAAACAGACUUUAUUCUGCACUUGCUCUAUAGCAGCGGAAUCAGCCACCAUCACUUGGGUUUGUCAGAAACACAAGGCAGACCGAGGAGUGGGAAAGCUUUAUGUUGUAGCAAAUAGACAGGCAGGGAUACUCAGAUUGGAGGCUCUUGGCCUGGAAAAGUUGGAGGCAGCCGGCUAGAAGCAGAGGUCAUUGGUUACAGAUGUGUGUUGUACUUUCUCUAGUUGUUCCCAGAUUGGAAGUGGGAACAAACAAUUGGGGAAGUUUUCAGUUAUUAAUCAAGUCCUGACCAUUGGGCCUGAUGAUUACAAAGUUAUUUUUUUAGCUUCCUGGAUUGUCACUAGAGAUAACCAUCCGACUUCCUGCCACAUCUGACGUCUAGCAGCCUGGCUUCCUGAGUUGAUUAUUAGAGAUAAAGUUUUGAUUUCUUGGGCAGGUUGCUGCCAGCGAUGAAUCAAAGUUCUGUUUCUGUGUGUUGUCUGGCCAUUGUCCAUUUGUGUAUUCAUUCUUCUAAUGCCCAGGUUUAGUUCUAACCGUACUAAAAAUACAACCCCUUGAUCAUGUCUCUGAGGAAACGCACACCCAGUUCAUGAAGAUGAUGUUUGCGGCUCUAGCCAUCAAUGGAGCUGUCUGUGCUGGAGGCAGACACUUCAGCAGUUAGUGCCCCAGAGACAAAGCCACCACAUCAGGCAAUUAAAACCUUUUGCCAUCCGAGAUCUUGGGGAGGAAAACUGAAUACCACUGGCUAAUGGAUAUAAAAUUCAAUUAAAAAGAUAAUUAUUUCCCUCGUAGAUACACAACCAUCUAUUCAGUGACGUUCAAGUUGGUUGACGAACUUUAUCAAAGUGGGCUCUUUGGGGAGGGAGCGAAGAUACAGCUGUAAUCGCAGUUUCAAGAAAAUCCUCACAGAACUUCCACUGUUUAAUAUGUCUUUUAUGAAGAAGAAGUUUCUCCACUUGCCUGCUGAAACCCUUUUACAUUUUCCCAAUCCUGGCCUCAGGGAACACAGAGGUGCCUUAUCAUUUGAGUCCAAGGUGUUUUGGCCGCUUCUUAAAGAAAGCCUGUGUCUGACCUCUCCUCUCCCUGUAGGAAUAUCCUUCCAUAAGCAGUUUAUUAAAAUUAUUUGGUGGCUCUGUAGGUUCUUAUAGAGCUAUAAGCUUCAAACUACACAGUUUGAAGUCCUAAAUUUAAUUUUAAUCAUGAAAGGCAUCAACCCAUAAAUGUGUACCCUGCCUAGCUCUGUUAGGACAAAGCAACUACUGGCACUUCCCAAACGAGCAGCUCAAUUUUAUAUCCUGGAGUUUCCUUCCAACAUAUUUAGCUUGUUUUCCAUGUGGCUCUAUGUUUCACUUCCCCGGGAAAAAAGACCCACUGGGUUUCAGACAUUCAUAGUCAAGGAGUCCCUGGACUUGCCUGUACAAAAUCACACUAUUCUCCUAAAGGCGAAUUUAAUUUGGGUGGUAUCUCUUGCUAAUUUCUCUUCCCUCUGCAUUGUCUGGUUGGGAGAAAACCCUCUCUGUCUGUGAGUAGCAGGGGGAACUGUGCGUUGUUGCAAAAUUGUAGCUGGAUCAAACAAGCCCAUUCAGGCAGUGAAGAUGACAAUCUGACAAAUAUUGGCAGACUGUGGCUCCCAGUGACUUGUCUCCCUCUUCUUCCACUCACGGCAGGCUCUCACACACACAUCCCCAAGGUCUGAUCAUUGUCCCUGAUGUCACUUUAGAGUAUAUGACACCUGUGUCAAAUGGAUUCUCUCCUUGAACCUGACACGUCUCAGCUUCCACCUCAGAUUCUCAUGUAACCUCUUUGGGAUGUCAGCGACUCAAAAGUGGGGAAUGAUAUUGGGACAAGUGUGCUGUUCAAGCCAUAGACCAGAUUCUGGUGUCCAUGGUAACAGAAAACCUGAGCUGCAACAGGAGUAUGAAGCAUAAACCCACCGCUGACCAUCAGAGACCCCAGCAGGUAUUUAACUAAGAAGGAGACUGAUAAUGGUGGGGCCCAGAUAUUGUCCAGAGGAAAAUAAAGCAAGGUAGAAACAGUUGUUCUUGUACCACUGCAAUAGCCAUACAAAGGAGAUUUGUCAUUAAGUAUCUGCCAUGUGCCAGGAAGGUAUCUGAUAGUAGUCCUCUGUUUUUGUUUAAGAAAUGUUAAGUUCUCACUCUCAGCCAGGUACUGACUGACUUAUGGGCUGGGGGUCUAAUUUUUUAUCUCCAUGUGUUGGCCAUGCCUGUGGCAUGCCGAAGUUCCUGGGCCAGGGAUCCAGAACCAGUGCCACAGCAGUGACAAUACCAGAUGCUUAACCGCUGGGCCACCAGGCAACUCAUCAUCUCCAUUUUAUCCAUGCAGAAACUGAGGUACAGAGACAUUCAGUAACUCACCCAGUGUCACACAGCUUUUAAGUGAUAGAGCCAGAAUUUGAACCCAGAUCUACUGACCUCAAAGCCCAUGCUCUUUCUCUCAUGUCACACUGUAAGAAAAGGCAAAACAGUAGAAUUGGGAAACAGGCGUAAAAUAACCUAGCCCCCAUAAGACUCUAAUUUUUUCCAAACAGAACCUCAGAAUCAUACUGUACUACCUGCCAUUUUUUUUUUAACGUUCCCUUUUAUCUAAAUGUACUUUUUCCAGAUGGUAUGGCUUAAAUUUACGUUAAUAAUCUGUCUUCAACAUGUGAUUAAUUCUUAAAACAGGUAUUCUCAAUACUGGUGAUGCCAUAUUAAGAAAGAUUUUGUAUGUGAAUCUUUGGUAAAAAAAUUUUUAAAACAUUAUUUGAUGAGUGCUUAUUUGGAAUAUAACUGUAUGUCAUCACAUAUUGUUUUAGGUCAUAUUUUAUAAAAUAUUAUCUAAUUUGAAAGCAGGCAUCAUGCUCGCUCGUCUUUGGUUCCAAGUCAAGUUCCUCAUAUAGGGUUUU
rnacentral:lncRNA from 1 species